UUUGUUAUUGAAUUGACUUUGACUUUGCUCGUCUCAUAUUUGAACAUUUCGAUCGGAUCCAUCUGAUCAAGGAAACUGUAGAAGUUACAAAGAGCAAACCCAGAAACAGAAUUCUGCUUUAGGAAAACUCUAAACUCCAAAGAGACGAAACCCAAACAACAAUUCAACUUCUCUCGUAGCAUUUUUCUCUUCUCUUACUUUUACAUUCUUCAACUCUCUAUUCAACUCUUUUAAUGUCCUUUUUAAAUGCUUCUGUUCUUGUAUGAGCUCAUGUUGCCUUUACAGUUUCUCAUGGUGUCUUUUAUAUUUUAUGUAACAGCACUUUGAAUUGACUUGUUAUUGAAAUGUGACACAGUGAUAAAGCUGCCGCACCUUUACCUGAGCAGACAUGAGGAACAUCAUUUGAUUAACAGAUGAGCAGAACAGGAAGAACAACUUUCUUCAUCUUACUGGAAACGAGGUGAACAGGACGGACCGGUCCAGAGGGGCGGGGACAAAGAAGUAUAAAGGAUCCUGUUUCACAGAAAUAUUCUUUGCAGAGGACACGCACAAAGUAAGCACUUUGAAUGGACUUGUUAUUGAAAUGUGACACAGUGAUAAAGCUGCCGCACCUUUACCUGAGCAGACAUGAGGAACAUCAUUUGAUUAACAGAUGAGCAGAACAGGAAGAACAACUUUCUUCAUCUUACUGGAAACGAUCGGUUACCAUUGCCAAACUUGCCACGACACCUUUUUUAUACAUGUACAAAAUAUUACUAGUAAAUGUAUAUUACACAGUUGCACAGCUACAAAACCUUUUACAUGUGUACAAAAUAUUUAUGUAGCUUCCCACGUUACAGCAUUAUUUCACAAAAUAUUAGAUCAGUAAUUUGAUCUCAGUAGAGCUCUUUCCUCAGUCUCUUAAUUUCGAAACAGCUGAACCAAAUAACUCACAGAGAGAAGAUGAUCCCCUGGAUCUUGUUGCUCGUCACACUGACCGCCUGCGUCUGUGUUUAGUUCUCACCUUCACUUCAUCGCCCAUAAACUAAAAUAAGCAGAUAGUUCAGGUCCUCACUUUUCCCUCUGUGUCCCCUCAGCAGGAACAUUAGUUGUCAAUGUGACACAGCCCCACAACUCAAUAAACAGAUUGUUUAAAAAACAGAUUUUCUUAUUUUGUCUCAUGUUCAUAAGGAUCAGUUAAAGUAAAUCAUUGUAAAAAGAUAAUAAAUUAUUCAUUUAAGGUUCAAAAACUU